rnacentral:rRNA from 1 species
CCCAAGAGAUCGGGAUAACACCUGGAAACAGAUGCUAAUACCGGAUAACAAUAGAUGAUGCCUAUCAACUGUUUAAAAGAUGGUUCUGCUAUCACUCUUGGAUGGACCUGCGGUGCAUUAGCUAGUUGGUAGGGUAACGGCCUACCAAGGCGAUGAUGCAUAGCCGAGUUGAGAGACUGNAUCGGCCACAUUGGGACUGAGACACGGCCCAAACUCCUACGGGAGGCAGCAGCG